rnacentral:ncRNA from 1 species
GCAACCUCAAGCUGGCCUACGGCAACACGGUGGUGUUCCGCUCGGUGCUCGGCAUCAGCUGGAUGUGGUUCUUCGGUGCCGUCUUCCUGAGCCUGUUCCCGGCCUUCGCGCGCGACGUGCUG